rnacentral:rRNA from 2 species
AAAUUGAAGAGUUUGAUCAUGGCUCAGAUUGAACGCUGGCGGCAGGCCUAACACAUGCAAGUCGAACGGUAACAGGAAACAGCUUGCUGUUUCGCUGACGAGUGGCGGACGGGUGAGUAAUGUCUGGGAAACUGCCUGAUGGAGGGGGAUAACUACUGGAAACGGUAGCUAAUACCGCAUAAUGUCGCAAGACUAAAGAGGGGGACCUUCGGGCCUCUUGCCAUCGGAUGUGCCCAGAUGGGAUUAGCUAGUAGGUGGGGUAACGGCUCACCUAGGCGACGAUCCCUAGCUGGUCUGAGAGGAUGACCAGCCACACUGGAACUGAGACACGGUCCAGACUCCUACGGGAGGCAGCAGUGGGGAAUAUUGCACAAUGGGCGCAAGCCUGAUGCAGCCAUGCCGCGUGUAUGAAGAAGGCCUUCGGGUUGUAAAGUACUUUCAGCGGGGAGGAAGGGAGUAAAGU